rnacentral:rRNA from 1 species
UACGUAGGGGGCAAGCGUUGUCCGGAUUUAUUGGGCGUAAAGAGCGUGUAGGCGGCCUGACAGGUCUGCUGUGAAAACUCGAGGCUCAACCUCGAGAUGUCGGCGGAAACCGUCUGGCUAGAGUCCGGAAGAGGAGAGUGGAAUUCCUGGUGUAGCGGUGAAAUGCGCAGAUAUCAGGAGGAACACCAGUGGCGAAAGCGCGUGACUGGGCCACAACUGACGCUGAGGAACGAAAGCCAGGGGAGCGAAAGGG